ACUCAAAUGAAUUGACGGGGACCCGCACAAGUAGCGGAGCAUGUGGUUUAAUUCGAAGCAACGCGAAGAACCUUACCUAAGCUUGACAUCCCAUUGACCUCUCCCUAAUCGGAGAUUUCCCUUCGGGGACAGUGGUGACAGGUGGUGCAUGGUUGUCGUCAGCUCGUGUCGUGAGAUGUUGGGUUAAGUCCCGCAACGAGCGCAACCCUUGCCUUUAGUUGCCAGCAUUAAGUUGGGCACUCUAGAGGGACUGCCGAGGAUAACUCGGAGGAAGGUGGGGAUGACGUCAAAUCAUCAUGCCCCUUAUGCUUAGGGCUACACACGUGCUACAAUGGGUGGUACAGAGGGUUGCCAAACCGUGAGGUGGAGCUAAUCCCUUAAAGCCAUUCUCAGUUCGGAUUGUAGGCUGAAACUCGCCUACAUGAAGCUGGAGUUACUAGUAAUCGCAGAUCAGAAUGCUGCGGUGAAUGCGUUCCCGGGUCUUGUACACACCGCCCGU
rnacentral:rRNA from 1 species